UAACCGGAUUAGAUACCCUGGUAGUCCAUGCCGUAAACGUUGGGCACUAGGUGUGGGGGACAUUCCACGUUUUCCGCGCCGUAGCUAACGCAUUAAGUGCCCCGCCUGGGGAGUACGGCCGCAAGGCUAAAACUCAAAGAAAUUGACGGGGGCCCGCACAAGCGGCGGAGCAUGCGGAUUAAUUCGAUGCAACGCGAAGAACCUUACCAAGGCUUGACAUGAACCGGAAAGGCGUAGAAAUACGUCCCCCACUUGUGGUCGGUUUACAGGUGGUGCAUGGUUGUCGUCAGCUCGUGUCGUGAGAUGUUGGGUUAAGUCCCGCAACGAGCGCAACCCUCGUUCUAUGUUGCCAGCACGUGAUGGUGGGGACUCAUAGGAGACUGCCGGGGUCAACUCGGAGGAAGGUGGGGAUGACGU
rnacentral:rRNA from 1 species